rnacentral:rRNA from 1 species
UGCAGUCGAGCGCCCCGCAAGGGGAGCGGCAGACGGGUGAGUAACGCGUGGGAACGUACCCUUUACUACGGAAUAACGCAGGGAAACUUGUGCUAAUACCGUAUGUGCCCUUCGGGGGAAAGAUUUAUCGGUAAGGGAUCGGCCCGCGUUGGAUUAGCUAGUUGGUGGGGUAAAGGCCUACCAAGGCGACGAUCCAUAGCUGGUCUGAGAGGAUGAUCAGCCACAUUGGGACUGAGACACGGCCCAAACUCCUACGGGAGGCAGCAGUGGGGAAUAUUGGACAAUGGGCGCAAGCCUGAUCCAGCCAUGCCGCGUGAGUGAUGAAGGCCCUAGGGUUGUAAAGCUCUUUCACCGGAGAAGAUAAUGACGGUAUCCGGAGAAGAAGCCCCGGCUAACUUCGUGCCAGCAGCCGCGGUAAUACGAAGGGGGCUAGCGUUGUUCGGAAUUACUGGGCGUAAAGCGCACGUAGGCGGACAUUUAAGUCAGGGGUGAAAUCCCAAAGCUCAACUCUGGAACUGCCUUUGAUACUGGGUGUCUUGAGUAUGGAAGAGGUGAGUGGAAUUCCGAGUGUAUAGGUGAAGUUCGUAGAUAUUCGGAGGAACACC